GACGAACGCUGGCGGCGUGCUUAACACAUGCAAGUCGAGCGGAAAGGCCCUUUCGGGGGUACUCGAGCGGCGAACGGGUGAGUAACACGUGAGUAAUCUGCCCUGGACUCUGGGAUAGCCACCGGAAACGGUGAUUAAUACCGGAUAUGACACCUUGCUGCAUGGUGGGGUGUGGAAAGUUUUUUCGGUCCAGGAUGUGCUCGCGGCCUAUCAGCUUGUUGGUGAGGUAAUGGCUCACCAAGGCUUUGACGGGUAGCCGGCCUGGGAGGGUGGCCGGUCACACUGGGACUGAGAGACGGCCCAGACUCCUACGGGAGGCAGCAGUGGGGAAUAUUGGACAAUGGGCGGAGGCCUGAUCCGGCAACGCCGCGUGAGGGAUGACGGGCUUCGGGUUGUAAACCUCUUUCAGUACCGACGAAGCGAGAGUGACGGUAGGUACAGAAGAAGCACCGGCCAACUACGUGCCAGCAGCCGCCGUAAUAC
rnacentral:rRNA from 1 species